UACAGUAGCAUAGAAGUAUGUAGACUGUGUGAUUAUUUAUGUUUAAACAUGGAAGUAUAAGAAAUCAGCUGCACACCACACAGCUAAGAAAAAAAGAAGCUGAAUGCUUGGUUCUUCCAGUGCAACACAGGGUCAGUCCAACUUUAAGGACAUCAGUCUGUCCUACAAAACGUAAACCACUGUGAAUCUGUUUUAUGGAUCCAUCUUAUUCCUCCUGAUUGAUUGUUUUCUAGUUUGACUUUUUGCUGGUGUUCCUGUCACUACUAACAGUAUGAAACAACAACCAGUAAUCAACCUCAUGUCUUCAUUUUUUUAACUCUGCUUAUAUGCUUAUAUUUUGUUUGGUCGUUUUUACAUUUCAGAGAUUAUUUUUUUUUCUUUAUUUUGUUAUAGUUUUUUUUAAUGUAAUUACAUUUGUUUUGGUUUUUCCUAUGCCAAGUUAUGUAAUAAAGAUCAUCAUUAUUAUUGUUAUUCUAAUAUUUUAACCUAGAAGAAUUAUGUGGAAUUAAUUUCAGUGCUGUUGUCAACAGAGAUAAGAGAGAAUAGAAGAAACAUUUGAGGAGUCUGUUGAUGAGAGCACAUUAUCUUGUUUUCAAAGGACAUAAAUGGCAUGAACUAUUGCAGGAGUAUGGAAUGGAAAAGAUGGAAAAGUGAAGAGUGAUCCUUAAAGUUUGGAUUUGAGCUUAGUGGAAGGGUCGUGCUGAGCAGGGAUGAAGGAGGGUUGAGCUGAUGUGACACUGACUUGAGGGCUAACAGGUUUUCAUAGAAAGACAAAGGUUUUUAAACAUGACAGAAACAUCUCAUCUUUAAUAGACCUUCAACAGGUUUAUGUGAUCAGUGAGGUGUUGACUGACAGAGAUAUAAAUGUAAUCAAAUUUAACACGCUUCACGCUUUUUUAUCCUGAUCAUCUGUCCAGAUUACAGUGUGUUGUAUGCACAGGUCUCCCACGAUAGAGCUAAAACCAAGAAAGACAACAGUGAGUAAAGUAAUAUAUGUACCUUUUUGUUUUGUUUUUUAUGUAGCAAGCAAUCAUCAUUGACUACAUCAUUAUUUCAUCAUUUUAAGCAAUGAUAUUGGUUAGAUAUCAUUGUAUUAUAGAGUCACUGACCUUAAUAACCAGGGUGGAGGAGUGUUGAAGUGAUCUGACACUAAAAUCAGAGCCAACAUCAGCAGAGAAAGAAACAGGUUUUCAAACAUGACAGUAACAGCUUGUGAUAAAAUCUCACCUUCAAUAGAGCUUCAAAACCUCCUUCAGUCAUUUCAUGUGAUGAGUUAUUGUAGGUGUUGAUUGACAGAAAAUAUAAAAGAAAUUAAAGCUACUCAAGUUUUUUAAUGCGGCUCAUCUGUCCAUCCUCUUUUAGAUGACAGCCUGUUGUACGCACAGGUCUAUUACACUAAAGCAAAACCCAAGAGACACAAAGGGAAACCAGCUCCUGCAGCAGCUGAUGAAACAGUUUAUUCUGAAGUUAAAUCACAAACAGCUCUGGAUUAAUAACAAGAUCUGCAAAACCAACUGGAUCAGUGACAAAACUGUGUUAAUUCCAUUAGAAUCAAAGAGAUCAUUGGAGAAAAUGAGAUUAUGCACUGUUUUGUAAAACAAAUAAAGUCAAACUUUCUUUCAUCAUAAUAGCACCAACUGAUGAUCUGACUUUAAGACUAGGAUGCUUUUUAGACAUGGAUUUUCAUUGAACUGCAAGUGUUUUUACAUGUAGAUUGCUCAAUACAUAAAUAACAAAUAAAAAUGCAUGCCUGACAAUGUUGGAGCAUACGAAUAAUGAGACAAUGGUGUCCUGGGGAUCUCCUCCAAGAUCUGAACCAGGCUCCUGGACAGUCUGAGCUGCAACCUGGCAGCGUCAGAUGGAGAGAAGCAUAAUGUCCCAGUUGGAUUUUGGUCAGGCAAGUGUGGGGACCAGUCAGUGGUAUCAGUUCCUUAAUCCUCCAGGAACUGCCUGCAUACUCUCAACACAUGAGGGUGGUCAUUAUCAUACAAGGAGGAACCCAGGACCUGCAGCACAAUAGGGUCUGACAGUGGGUGACAAACUCUUGAGCAUGAAUUGAAUUGGCAUCCUAGAGGAGUUGGACAUCCUGUACAACCUUUGUAGCAUCCAGGGAUCAUCUCACCCUGCCAGUAACAAUGAUCACACUAGCCAAGUGCAAAAAUAGUGAAAAAAUAGUCAGAAGAGGUGAGGAGGGAAAAAUGUCAGUGACCUCUACCUGUAAAACAAUUCCUGUUUGGGGGGUCGUUUCAUUGUUGCCCCUCUAGUGUACCUAGUGUUAACUGCAUUUUCUGCUACUUCAUCGAGGAUAGACGUUUGAGUGAUCUGAUGUUUUACUCUGAUUAAAAAUAAUUCCUUUAAUUUCUUUUGAGCAGUGCAUGUUUACAGACGUUUCCUGUGUUGUUUCUAAAAUCAGUCAAUGUGUAUGAUAAGCAUACAUGUUUCUUUUCCCCUGGAUGAAUUAAGCAUCACUUGACAUUUUUCUAUAAAGUUGAUUUUCUUCUUUUAACAGCUUCAGGAAAAGAUGGUAAAUGGCCUGUAUUUGUAUAA